rfam:Candidatus Evansia muelleri genome assembly, chromosome: I
UAAUUGAAGAGUUUGAUCAUGGCUCAGAUUGAACGCUAGCGGUAAGCCUUACACAUGCAAGUCGAGCGGCAUCGAAAAAUAGUUUUUUAUAUUUUGUCGGCAAGCGGCGAACGGGUGAGUAAAGCAUGGGAAUCUGCAUAAUAGAGGGGGAUAACGUGUGGAAACGCACGCUAAUACCGCAUACGUCCUAUGGGAGAAAGAAGGGUAUAUAAUACCUUUUGCUAUUAGAUGAGCCCAUGUCGGAUUAGCUAGUUGGUAGAGUAAUAGCCUACCAAGGCAAUGAUCCGUAGCUGAUCUGAGAGGAUGAUCAGCCACACUGGGACUGAGACACGGCCCAGACUCUUACGGGAGGCAGCAGUGAGGAAUCUUGGACAAUGGGCGAAAGCCUGAUCCAGCUAUAUCGCGUGUGCGAUGAAGACCUUAGGGUUGUAAAGCACUUUCAGUAGUAAAUAAAACCUUGUAAUUAAUACCUAUAAGGCUAGACAUUAGCUACAGAAGAAGCACCGGCUAACUUCGUGCCAGCAGCCGCGGUAAUACGGGGGGUGCAAGCGUUAAUCGGAAUUACUGGGCGUAAAGGGCGUGUAGGCGGUUUUUUAAGCCAGAUGUGAAAUCCUUGGGCUUAACCUAAGAAUUGCAUUUGGAACUGAAUGACUAGAGUACAGGAGAGGAAGAUAGAAUUCCAGGUGUAGCGGUGAAAUGCGUAGAUAUCUGGAGGAAUACCAGUGGCGAAGGCGAUCUUCUGGCCUGAUACUGACGCUAAGGCGCGAAAGCAUGGGUAUCAAACAGGAUUAGAUACCCUGGUAGUCCAUGCUGUAAACGAUGUUGACUAGUCGUUAAGAAAUAAAAUUUCUUAGUGACUAAGCUAACGCAUUAAGUCAACCGCCUGGGGAGUACGGCCGCAAGGCUAAAACUCAAAUGAAUUGACGGGGGCCUGCACAAGCGGUGGAGCAUGUGGUUUAAUUCGAUGCUAAGCGAAAAACCUUACCUACCAUUGACAUCUAGCGAAUUUAUCAGAGAUGAAAAAGUGCUCAAUAUUUUAUUGAGAAUGCUAAGACAAGUGCUGCAUGGCUGUCGUCAGCUCGUGUUGUGAAAUGUUGGGUUAAGUCCCGUAACGAGCGCAACCCCUGUUCUUAUUUGCCAGCGAUUAGGUCGGGAACUUUAAGAAGACUGCCAGUUAUAAAUUGGAGGAAGGUGGGGACGACGUCAAGUCAUCAUGGCCUUUAUAGGUAGGGCUACACACGUGCUACAAUGGCAAGUACAAAAGGUUGCAAAUCGGCAACGAGAAGCUAAUCCAAUAAAGCUUGUCUCAGUUCGGAUUGGAGUCUGCAACUCGACUCUAUGAAGUAGGAAUCGCUAGUAAUCGUGAAUCAGCAUGUCACGGUGAAUACGUUCUCAGGCCUUGUACACACCGCCCGUCACACCAUGGGAGUGAAUUGUACCAUAAGUGACUAGUUUAACCGUAAGGAUGACGGUCAUCACGGUGGGAUUCAUGACUGGGGUGAAGUCGUAACAAGGUAGCCGUAGGGGAACCUGUGGCUGGAUUACCUCCUUA